CAAGCUGCCUCUGGGACCCUGAGAUCCUGGUGUGACCAAGCUCCUAGGAUCCUGUGGUCCUAGGUGUGUUAGAACGCCUGGGAUUGGAGCUUCCUUUGGGUGUUACAAGACUAGCUGCGGAGUUUGUACCCAAGGUCUGCUCAGGGCACCAGCUCAGACUGGAAGGAUCCAGAGCCACUGGUCAGGCAGUGUUCCUGGGUACCAGGGUCCUGCUAGGCCCAGUUACUUCUGGUGUUGGGGCAGAUGUUGUGUCCUCCUCACCUCUGAUCUUAUGAUCCUGGGCGUGUUAGAGCACCUGGUAGUGGAUCUUCUUCUGGAUGUUGUGGGACUGGCUGCGGUGUUCGCCACCCCACCCCUCCCAUGUCAACUCUAUUUCACCCAAAGAUGCUCCAGUUUCUAGCAAGUGCCAACAAAUAAAAAUAUAUUGGGACACAGAUUUUAUUAUCUACCUUCCAUCUUUCCUCAGCCUCAGCUUUUUCAAACCAUUUAGCAAAUAUCUUCCUGAAACACCUAUAAAUAAAUGCAAGGUACACAAUGUUUGUUUUUAUGGCCUUUCCCUGAUCUGAAUGACAUUCCCUUUGUCUUCAUCAUUGUGAGAUCUACCAUUUGUUCAUAUUACUUCUCACUAUAGCUCCGUCACUGUUCUUAUUAUUAAAUAUCUCUGCUUUGCUCACAGCCUAUUUGGAUUCAUAGUUGGCAUUGCUUGUGUCAGACCCUUAAAUCGGGCUGUCCCGUAGCAGGCAUUGGAUGCACUGGGUUCUGUUCUCACACAGGAAGCAGUGCAGUGUUGAACAGUGCAGUGCUGGACAGCAUCACCUCAGGGCAGCCCCUCCAUUGAAAGUUAAUGACAGAAAGUGAUAGGCUAGGUUUUGCCUUUUAUCUGGCAUGCUUUAAUUGAUAGGAUCAAAACUCUCAUUUUUGUGUAUUUCUGUCUUUUUAGUUUGUAUUUAUUUACACUAGUAUCUCUGACAUCAUCUCAGAGCAAAGUGGCCGUCUUACUCCUUAAAUAAUCUCAUUUGCACCUUAGCAAACAUUCAGAUCCUGUGCAGUUGUCAUCCAUCUUCUCUUGCAACAGUUUGACUUUAGGUCAAGGAUAACAGAAAAUAAAUUCAUGUGGAAAAAAUAUUCCCUGGUUUCUUUUUAUAGCUCAUGAAAAAAAUGAAGUCAUUUUCCUUUAAUAUGUGAGGAAUAGGAGUUGGAAUGUGCUUACUUGCUAAGAAUAGGAAAUCAAUUUAAUGAUGUGUAUCAGGAAAGCUAGAAGCCAGCAUGACCCUGCACAGUGCAGAGCACUGGAAGGUUGAGACACUGCAUUGUGCAAAUGGCCUUUAAGAAAUGAAGCAACCAUGGGUAUUUGCUAACUCCCACCCCAAAUGCACUUAUAUUUAUGGCCUUAACCCUGAAUUGAGCACAGUUAUGUGUCUUGCUUAUUUUCAUAGUUCCACUACUUGCUCAUCAUCCCAUUCAAUACUUUGCCAUAACUGUUACAUUACUCCUUUGCUCACUGCCUCCCAUGAUUUAUACUUGAUUCGCUUGCUUAAGACUCUGAAAUUGAGCUAAGAAGUGAAAGAAUUAUCAAAAACAUAUCUUGUCUCCUUUUUUUGUUUGUUUUUGUGUGUGUGUGUGGGUUUUUUUGUUUGUUUGUUUUUGUUUUUCAAGACAGGGUUUCUCUGUAUAGCCCUGGCUGUCCUGGAACUCACUUUGUAGACCAGGCUGGUCUCGAACUCAGAAAUCCGCCUACCUCUACCUCCCAAGUGCUGGGAUUAAAGGCGUAAGCCAUGGCGCCCAGCCAUCUUGUCUCCUUUUAAGUUAGAAACUCUGCUGCUCUGCUGCUCUCCCAGAGCUCUUAAUGUGACAGACUUGGAGCCUAUGGGCUCCGCAGCACAAUGGCAUUGCUGUAGUAGAAUAGCCAGUGAGUUCUGUGGGCCGAUGGCACAGUUCAUGUGUAAAAGAAAUUUUCUCUUAAGCUCCCAGAAGACAGUGUGAUUAAAUCUCAGCUCCUUUACCCUUCCUUUCAAUUCUAAUGUGGGGGGUUACUGAAUUAAUUUCCAAAGGCAUUAGCAUAUAAUUACCAUGUACACAGAAUGAGGCUUACUCCAGAGCACUGGCUUUCCCAGAGCAAUUAGGCCCAGAAAAUGUGAAGGCUGGGGCAUGGUGCUGUCAUAUGAAUAUAGGAUUUAUUUAUAACCCUCCCUACAGUGCAGGCGUGGGAAGACAGGGCUAAUGGUGCUGUGCAGGGAGUCUGAAUGGUCUGUCAGGUUAAAGCCAAAGCAGGAGGAAUAGUUGAUGGCACAGUGGCUUAGGCUGCUCUGUGGAGCUGUAGAAGUAUGAGAUGCUGUCUUUGAGCCAGGCACCUGCAGGCAGGAGAGUCUACACUGAAUCCUGUCCAGUGCAUGCACAAUGGAAAAGAAAGGGUGUGAGUACCUCCUGCUCUAGUUGGAUAGAGACAUAAAUCUAGGGGUGAGUUCAGAUCUUGUCUCGUGAUAUUGUUUUCAUGGGAAAAAAACAUAGACAUGAAGGGAUUGAGCCAGGCGCUCCCCACUGCUUCGUGCUGUCUUCUCUAGCUGUCCACACUGUCCCAUACUGUACGCUCCUUGCCAGCAGAGUAUAGUUGAGAACUUUUGGAAAGCUUAGGUGUGAUUUGGAAUGGGGCUUGGAAGCUAGUGAGUAAAUUACUAGGUGUGUGCAUCCAUGGGAUAAAAGCUCUUUCUGUACACUCAUGAGAUCCACACCACAUCAGGGUGUGUUUAUCAAGAAUUUUAGAAUGAAAUAACUUUGCCCUAAGGUUCUUUAUUAAUAAAACCUCCCGGUAUAGAAAGAGUAGCCUGAGCCAUAGAGAGAGCAAAGGAUUUCAAAAUUGAAAUAAAAUUAUGGUUUCUCUAUGAUACUUUGAUAGUCAGGGACUUAAUACCUAGUCAUGCAGAAUUCAUUGACCAGGUUGCUUUGCUUUGGUUUUGGUUUGUUUUGGUUUUUUAUUGUAGCAAUGACUUUGAAAGUGUGACAGCACAACAGCUUUGACACUUCAGAUAUGAAUAUAUUACAUUUUUGAACAGCUGUGGCAGCACAUGCCUAGCACUCAGGGGGCAGAGGUAGGCAGAUUUCUAUGAGUUCAAGGCCAACCUGGUCUAUGGAGUGAGUUCCAGGCCAGCAAGGACUGUAAAGAGAGACCUUAUCUCAACAUACAGCUCUAUCUAAAAGCUUUAGUAUCUAAAAGCUCUUUUUUGGGUUUUUUUGUUUUGUUUUGUUUUGUUUUUUAUGUUUUUUGGGGUUUUUGUUUUUUUGUUUUUGUGUUUUGAGACAGGGUUUCUCUGUGUAACUCUCACUGUCCUGGAACUCACUCUGUAGACCAGGCUGGCCUCGAACUCAGAAAUCCACCUGCCUCUGCCUCCUGAGUGCUGCGAUUAAAGGCGUGUGCCACCACUGCCCAGCCUAAAAGCUCUUUUAAAAUGGGUUGAUUGAAGCUGACAUAAAAAAGUAUUAUGAGCAGGUCCUAAAUAUAACCUUCACACAUACCAAGGUAAAGUCAUCCCAUUUUGCGCUCCUUAAAAUAAUCUGUUUGCAGCCUAAAAAGCUCACAGGGGACAUAGUGAUGGCUGAGUGAGUACAAGGCCCUGGUCACCACAGCAUUGUGACCAACGCUAUGUGAGUUUGCUGGCUAUUUCCUGGCACUGUCACAGGUGGAUGGAUCCCUGAGUAUGAAGGAAGGGCAUGUCAUUAUCAAGUGUCCAGGGCACAUACCAAGCCUUAAUGCCUGCCAGACUUGCUCAGUUUUCACAUCCAUCUUCAGUCAACUCACAGCAACCUUAGUUAGGUGCACAGUUAGCUCCCAUCCUGCAGCAAGUGGACUGGGGCAGGAAUGGGCAGGAUCAACAAGCUUUUCUGACUAACACUGCGGUCUUUCAUAAUUUUGGAUUAAAUUCUUAUAAUUUGGGAGGGUAUAAUUUGAAUGUGAAUUGCCACUCCCCAUAAGUUCACUUUUUUGAACAAUUGGUCCCCAGCCAGUGGCAUGAUUUGGGAAGGUUGUGGAACCUUUAGGAAGUGGAGCCUCAUCUGAGCAUGGUGGCACACACCUUUAAUCCCAGCACUUAGGAGACAGAGGCAGGUGAAUUUCUGAGUUUUAGUUCAGCCUGUAUUAUACUGAGUGUUUGUGGACAGCCAAAGCUACAACGAGAGACCUUAUCUUCCAAGUAGACCCUCUCUGGAAGAAGUGGGUCACUGGGGUAGGCCUUGAGGCUUUAUAGCCCACCUCCUUUCCUGAGUGGGAGAGCCUCCUGCUCUUGCUCCCAUGCCUUUCCUGCCUGCUACCAUACAUUUCCCACAGAAUAGACGCUCUCAGUCAGAAUUAAACCCUUUCUCCUUUAAGUUGCUUUUUUCAGAGUAUUUUUUCAUAUGUCAGUAUUCUUCAUAACAGUGAGAAAUGCAUCAGGUGUAGGUAAAUGCAGUUAAUUCAGAACAGGUUAAUACAUCUAAUAGAGUUUCAUAUUGGACUAAAAGUCACAGCUGUUGCCUGUAACCACCUGACUUCUUUCAGAGAAUACUACUGAGAUAAGACUGAGAUUCUUGACUCCCAUGCAGGGAAUAUUUCGGGACUAGUCUGUUUGCAGCAAACCUGUUUAUUUAGGGCUUCUGAAGCUACUUUCUUUGUUUAAAGAGUUUCAGAGAAACACCACCACCACCACCCCCUUUUUUUUUUUUUUUCAUUUUUCUUUUGACAAGUCAAAAGAAUACUUAAUAGGUCACAGAAAAUUAAGACAAGUUUUGACUAUAAACAAAGUUUAUAAUCUUGUUUGAAUGAUUUUUAGAAAUACAUAGGUAGGAUUUUUAGAAGUAUAUUGGGGAUGGGGGGAGAGUUAAACUCAAAGGUGCCAAGCACUUAAGCCUUAAGCAUGGUCAGUUGUUACUGCAACAUUAUUAUUGUAAAUGCUUCUGUGAAAUGGGAAUAUUGUCUCUACAUAUGUAAACUCCCCCCCCCCCCUUUUUCUUGUUUAGACUGGUAUAUAGCCUUGACUGUCCUGGACUUCUCUAUGUAAACCAGGCUAGCUUGAACUCACAGAGAUCUACCUGCCUCUGCCUCCCUAGUGCUGAGAUUGAGGUGUGCACCAUCGUGCCAGGCCUAUGUAUGCACUCUUUACACCAAAUUAGUUAGUUGUGCCAAAAUUCUGGACUUAGCUGGUAAAAGACUCAACCACGCUCAAGUGAAAGGCUCCUCUUCCUUCCUGUACACCCUGAACAUUUCUGCUUUUCUAUCCUGCCUCAGUUUCUCACACUGCAGCUACAUAUUAUAUUACCCAUCUUCUCAAUAUGUAACACCACUCUAGGCCCAUUAAGGAAAGAAUGUAAUUGAUAAAACCGUGCUCGGUCUGUUAAGAAGCACAGAAGGAAGGCAAUCCUGUCUGUGCACAGUGUGUGAGCUUCUGAACCUCAUAAUUGAAAACCUUGCCCUCGUUUCGCCUAUAGAGUUGGGGUUUAUUUUCAGCAUAGAAACAAACUACUGUGUGGAGCCUAGUUCAAGUUGAGUGUCCUGAUUCUUUCUGUCUGUGCUUCCAGCUGUGAAGGCUUUGGUUCUAUUUUUGCCGUUUCAGUUUCUGACUGCAGCCUGUUACGGGAGGAAUUUUGAAUUAUUUACUUGCGCCUCAUUGUCUUUAUGUCACAGAAAUCUUCUGGCUCGAGUCUCUACUCUUACCACUCUCUGGAAGGAAUAAUGAUCAUUUAUUUCUGAUUGCUGUGCUCCUCGUUAUUGCUGUUACAAAAGCUCUGAGCUCUCUACAGUGAGCCAAAUUAUCUUAAGCCCUUAGAGACAAAACAAAGUAAAAAUGAAGGUGUAUUAUUAGUUAUUUUUUCUCGUAGCUAUAAAAAAAUACCUAAUAAAAGCAACUCGAGGAGGAAGGAUUGUUUUGGUUUGUGGUUUAAAUGGAUAUAGCCCUUCAGUAGGCAGAGAUGUUGGGCAGGAAGGUGAGGAGGCUGGACAUGUGUUCCCAACAAUCAGGAAGCAGAGAGAUGACUACUAGUAUUUGGGUUAUCUUUUCAAACCCGGCCCCUCUUUUUUCGAUUCCAAGACCCUACCUAUGGGAUGGUUCCAGACACAUGCAGAAUGGAUCUUUUCCUCCCUAAUUACAGCUAUCUAGAACUAACCUCUCAGAUGUGUCUCCUAGGUGAUUCUAAAUCCAGCCAAGUUAGCAGUAAAAUUAAGGAUCAAGAAUGGAAGAGACUGAGAUCAUUAAGGAAAACAGGGAUCAGGUCAUUUGGAAGCUGGGCGCCCUUGCCUCUGGCUUCUGUAGUUCCUCUCCAUGUCCCACCACGUGACUGGGGGUGACUGAGCUCUGCUCUUCUGUCCUCCUUUGUUCUGCAUGUUCCUCCUUUGCUAUCUUAGUGAUUAGACUGAGGUGCAGCCUGGGAAAAUACUCGAUGGCUGGGGUUAUUCUGAAAGGUGUUAAGUUGGCCACACACACACACACACACACAAUCCAUUUGUGGUCUUUGCCUCAUUUACAUAAUGGGCAUUUAUACUUUGCUAAUCAUGCAAUGUGACCCUCACCCCAGGUGGUACAUAGCAAGACUCCUCAAAGAUGCUUGAAACCUUGUGCAGUACAGGCCUUUCAUACCCCCAUUGUCAUUGUUACUUUGUUUUAGUUUAGUUUAGUUUAGUUUAGUUUAGUUUAGUUUUGUUUUGUUUUGUUUUGUUUUGUUUUUAGACAAGGUCUCUCGAGUACAGGCUGACCUACCUAGAACUCACUAAGUAGCUCGGGUUGGCUUCAAAUUUAGGUCAGUCGUCCUGUUAGCCUCAUAGCCUGGGAUUACAGGUAUCAACCCCAAUACCCAGUUUAUACUACGUUUGCCCUCUAUACAUAUAUGCCCAUGACAAAGUUGGAUUUAUACACUAAGUAGAGUGCGAUAUUAACAGUAACUCUUGAAGUAUAACAGCUAGACAAAGGUAUUCUAAUACAAGGUUCACAAAUGAGUUUUCUGCGCAAAUGCAUUAUUUUGUUUUCCCCCAAAGGGGACAUUUUAUGAUUCUUUUGGAUAUCUGAGUCACUAGCAUAAUGUUUUAUGGCUUAUGGCAGUUAUUAAGUAAAGUGUUUCUGCCUGAGAGUAUUUGACCUGAUAGUGGAGUAGCCGGCAGCAGGCAUGUGCAGUGCACAAAGGGCUGGUUUCCAGCCAUGGGUUGAAGCAGGAAUGAUGCAGAACCCGAGAGUGAACUGUGGGACAGAAAGUUGGAAAGGGGACUGCUGGGAGGGUGAUGCCAGCCUGUGGGGAGGGGUGGGCUCUACAAAGACACGGUCUUUGUAUGUAAAUUUCAAAAUCUUUUUGUUUUGUUUUUCAAGAUAUAUUCUCUGUGUAGCCCUGGCUGUCCUGGAACUUGCUCUAUAGACCAGGUUGGCCUCAAACGCAGACAUGCUCCUGCCUCUGCCUCCCAAGUGCUGCGAUGAAGGGGUAAACCACCACCGCUAGCUCCCAAAACACCGGCUUUUGUAAAGUAGGAAUUAUUUCUGGAAUUUUUCAUCAAAUAUCUUCAGGUCACAUUUAAUCUGAAACCCUAGAAAGUAAAAACUGUAUCGGGGUUAUGUGAGUCCAUUGUAUGUAAGGGACAUUAUUCCUAUCUUUCAUACUGGUAAACGUAUAUACUACCAGACUGUAACCAACCUAAUAAAUUGAGUAUAUUUCUUAAAGGUUUAUUGCAUAUCCUAAAUGACAUAGUAAUGGACUUCAUUAGGACAUUUUCACACAUAUAUGUGACAUUUUGAUAACACUUACCCACCCUCCCUUCCCAUUACCCUUUCUUAUCUCCUCCCACUGAGUCCCCUUCUAUUCCUUUUACCUUCCUGUACUUUUUGUUUUGUGUUGGGUAACUAGAAUUACUUACAGGAGCAGGAGUGAGGCUGGGUAACUGGUUAGUGCUCGAAAUUUCUCCUACCUUGGCCGUGCAAAGAGCAGAAUGAGAAUCGGGAGGUGGGGAAGUUUUUUGCCAAGGUUGGGAGUUGGUUGGGGAUAGGAUGUGGAUGGUUGAUUACAUUAAGGAUUAAGAGAAGCCGAGGGAGUUCCCUGCCACUCACUGGGCAUGCUUGUUGCAUGCUCCAGUGGCCCCAGACUUACUCAAGGCUGUGCGAACUGGAGACUUGAGCCUGCCUUCUGGCAGCAUCACUACAUACCUUAAACUGUUUUAUAAGACACUGAGUGUGUGAGUCUCCAUGUCCUUAAUACACCAACACAGGACCAAUUGCCUGUCUCACAGCCUGGCUGAGGGGCAGUGCUAGACCAUAUGAGGUAUGUGCUAAAUGUUCUUAGGUGCAAAUGAUGGCAUGGCGCCUCUGCAGGGCAGGUUUUUAAUAAUGUGACUGUUGAAAUGAGCGACUGGGGCCAUGGAGGUGUCUCAGUGAGUAAAGGGCUUGCUAUGCAUGCCUUAUGACCUCAGUUUAAUCCCCAGAACCCAAGGUGGAAGGAGAGAAUCCACUCCUGUAAGUCGUGCUCUGUUCUCCACAUGUGUACUUGUGCUGCUGAUCACACCAUGUGAUACAUAAGUGUCCCUGUGCUGCUGAUCACACCAUGUGAUACAUAAAUGUACCUGUGCAGGUGAUCACACCAUGUGAUACAUAAGUGUACCUGUGCAGGUGAUCACACCAUGUGAUACAUAAAUGUACCUGUGCUGCUGAUCACACCAUGUGAUACAUAAGUGUACCUGUGCAGGUGAUCACACCAUGUGAUACAUAAAUGUACCUGUGCUGCUGAUCACACCAUGUGAUACAUAAGUGUACCUGUGCAGGUGAUCACACCAUGUGAUACAUAAGUGUACCUGUGCAGGUGAUCACACCAUGUGAUACAUAAGUGUACCUGUGCAGGUGAUCACACCAUGUGUGCACCUGUGCAUGUAGCCACACACACACAGACACACACUAUAUGCACAAUAUUGAUACGAUUGGAACACUUCUAAAAAGAGAGAAACUGGAACCCUGAGGGGGUGGGUUAGGAGAAUCUUGCUGAUUGAGUUUUUUACUGUGUCUAUAAAGGGACAUAUAAAGGAAAGCAUUUUUAAUUCAAGAGGAAAAUAUAAUAACUGAGAAUCGGGGUAGAUUUCUAGUCAGGUCAGCUUUUGGGAGAAAGAAGGGAACCCUGGGGUAAGCAUUACUGCUAUAGGACAUCUUAUCCUGUUCUCUAUAUUUGCCCUUCUGGUUUUGGUUGUUUUGGGACUAGGUGUCACUAUGUAUCUCUGACAGGCCUGUAGCUUGUUUUGUACACUAAGCCAGGCCUUGAACUCACACAGAUCACUUGUUUAUGCUACCACACCUGACUUGAUAUUUUUGGUAAAGAAAUUCCAGGUCACUAAGCACCUAAGUUCUAUUUGCCUACCUGGCUAAGAAUACUAUUUAUGCCUGGGCUAGAGAGACAGCUCAGCUGGUAAAGUGCUUCUCAUAUCAGCAUGAGGACCUAAGUUUGGUCCUCAAUACCACGUAAAAUGUCAGUUGGGGUGACAAGCCCUGUAGUUCCAGUACGGAGAAGAUGAAGACAGAGGGUGGGUCCCUGGGCUCACAGGCCAGUCAGCUUAGCCUACUGAGAGACCCCAGGUCCUAGUGAAAGACCUUUCUCUAAAAACAAGGUGUGGAGCCGGAGAGACACAUCAAGAAUGAGGGCUUGCUCUUCUGGGGAAACAAGAAUUGGGUUCCCAACAAGCGCAUCACACGAGUCACAACUGCAUAUAACUUCAGCUCCAAGGGAGUCAACGGUUCUAGCACUUGUGGCACUCAUACACACACACACACACACACACACACACACACACAUACACACACACACAUGCACACACACACACACACACACGCACGCACGCACGUACACCACAGACAACCAAAUAAUAACAAAAUCAUUCAACACACGGUAUCGAGUCCUUCAAGAAAAGACAGCUCAGGUUGACCUCUGGCUACCACAUGUACUCACAAGUGCACGUGAACAUGUGCAAACACAAAAAGACACAUACCUCAAAAGUGCUGCUGAUGUAUCUUCAAUGGGGAAGCAGUUUUUCCUCAGAAUUAAUAACAGUUCUUGUUAAGAGGUAGACUACACUGUUUACUUAGCCCCUCCAGCUGUGUGAGGUAACAGGAACCACACACACCCAUCUUGCCUUUUCUUCUUUUUCUUUCCUUUUUUUAAGGAAAAAACGAAUGUGAUUAUUUUUUCUGUAGUAUCUGCUGAUUAUUGCAAACCUGGGUUUUGUACACAGAUGUCAUAAUGUAGCCCAGACUAACUUCCAGCCUGCAGCCCUGCAUCGACCUCCCUACCCGUGCUCACAGGCCUCCCUGGCCUCCCUGGCAUACACCAUCAGCAGAUGGUCAGUGGGAAAGCUCUGGCCACAUAAACUCAGUGACCUGAACUUGGUCUCCAGAGUCCAUGGCGGAGGGAGAGGACUACAUUAAAGCCUUCACACUCCUGUCAUGACAGACAUGUACAUGUAUGUGUUUGUACACACAAAAUAAAUAAAAUGUGACAAAAAUGUUUUAAAAUACUGAUACAGAAAACUGUCCCCACAGAGCACAACCACUAGAGCAAGUUCUUUAAACUCAAACAGACACUUUAAACCUAGAAGUGGUUCCAUGAUGUCUGCUGUGUUUCCCACUCAGCACUGCUGAUCUCAUGACCACACAUCUAUACACAUCACCUUCCUCAGUCCUUUCCAUUGUCACCAUGACAGAUUAGGAGACUCUGCAGUUUUCCUACUUCUUCUUGACUAAAAGUAUAGCUGUGCUGGCAUGUUGAUGCCUCCGUUUUUUAGCCUUUUUAGGAUAAAUCCAUAGACAUGGAACCUUUCAUCCAGGAGUUAACUGAAAGCUGGGUAUGGUAGUGUGUACCUGUAAUCUGAGGCAAUCUAUUAAGACCCUAUCUCAAAAUAAAGUUGAAAAGAUCUGGAAUGUUCUUUGGUGACUGAGCACUUGCCUAGCAUAUUCUAGGUACUGUGUUUGAUCUUCAACACCAAAAAAUAUGAAAGGGUUGAUGGUUAUAAAUAUAAUGUGUUGAUUUUUUUCCAUGUGGUUUGUAUUCAGGUUAUUUUGAAAGUGAAAGUAUUGAUUCUAAUGCCUUAAAAUAUGACAUUCAGAAGGGACUUCCAAGUGCAGAUAGGGGAGGGCUCUGAUUUUAUUACCAGCCACUCAUGUAGUGUGAGUUCAGUUCAGCUCUCUAAUAACAGUUUACAGUUUGUAUAAUAUGCCAAUUUUCUUUGCAGAAGAAAGAAUGGGAAGGGGAUUGUUGAGUGUAAUAAAUUAUGACGAUGUUCAAACCUUGGGCAAAUCUGUUACUUAAACUAAAUGUUAAUUUUGUAUAAUUAAUAUUUUCAACCCUAGCUUAAGUUAAUUAAGUUUUGCUUUCAAUUUGAUAUGUCAUUUGAAUAGAUUUAAUUGAGCUGCUUUUCAGCAUCAAUUUACAUUCCUGUUCAAAUGAACUGGGGGAAAGUAAGAGUAGUUAAAAGCUUAUCUCUUUAAUAGUUUUGCAUAAUUAAUUUGAUUAAAACAAAUCUCAUUAAAGACUUUAAAAGUGAAAGUUUCUGCUGCAGUAGGAAGGCAUUUUUGUCCAUUUACUUUUGCUAAAUCUGUAUUGGAUUAGCCCCAAUUCGACUUUGGCUGCAAACUACAAAUACUGCAACCAGUUCUCCCAUCCCGGUCAGGCUUGCCCUCAUACUGAGGGUUUGUUCUUUCUCUCUACAGAGGCAGAAGGCAAACCCUGAGUGGGAAGUCAGGUGGCCUGGAAACCUGCAGUAUGACUCACCAGCUUAGAAAAUGCAGACAUGGCUGUUGUAUGGGGCCUUGGAAUCCAGAGUUGCUGUAAUUUGUUCCUAAAUGGGAUUUGAG